rnacentral:rRNA from 1 species
CCUUGCCAGCCCGCUCAAGAAACUUAAAUGAAUUGACGGGGCCCGCACAAGCGGAGGAGCAUGUGGUUAAUUCGAUGAUACGCGAGGAACCUUACCUGGGCUCGAACGUAAGAUGACUGUAGGUGAAAGCUUACAUCUCUUCGGAGCAUUUUACGAGGUGCUGCAUGGUUGUCGUCAGCUCGUGCCGUGAGGUGUCGGGUUAAGUCCCAUAACGAGCGCAACCCCUACCUUUAGUUGCCAUCAGGUUAAGCUGGGGACUCUAAAGGAACUGCCUACGCAAGUAGUGAGGAAGGCGGGGAUGACGUCAAAUCAGCACGGCCCUUACGUCCAGGGCUACACACGUGCUACAAUGGCCGAUACAGAGGGCAGCUACCUGGUGACAGGAUGCAAAUCUCCAAAGUCGGUCUCAGUUCGGAUCGGAGUCUGCAACCCGACUCCGUGAAGUUGGAUUCGCUAGUAAUCGCGCAUCAGCCAUGGCGCGGUGAAUACGUUCCCGGGCCUU